rnacentral:misc_RNA from 1 species
AUAGCGCUUCCACGAGCGUUUCACCACUUUACUGCCUCCAGGGCGGAUAGAAUGUUGUUUGGACGAGUAGUUUAGGGGUUCAUAGGCUUACAUUGACGGCUGGUGGGUCGUCCGAGUCGCGUUUCUCACGUAGGGUCCUGGGACUGGAAGAAAUGAUCUCCCGACGUUAUGCAAGCGAAAACAAAGGCACAGGGUUUCCGUUCUAAUGCGGAUGGUGAGAAUGCGUUGGUGUUCGACCUAGCGUAUACCAAGACCGAACGGACGACAGUAGAGGCCUUUCUUAGCGGAGCAGCACGGCGUUUGGGUAUGGUAGUCCUGUUUGGCGAGCGGCCGGUGUGCAUCAAAGUUCUAGAGCGGAGCCUGGUUCGUGCGGGUAAGCACCGCUCAAAGAAGAGGCAAACUACUGCAUGUCUAGGAACUAAAUAGACUCUAUGCUUUACGAGCGAACCAGCCGAGUGCACCUGAACGCGCUCUCUCCGGCAUAUGUGUCCAGGUCAGCGAGCGCUGCUUGCCGCAGCGUUUGGUUCACAAGCUGCCGCAGCGUCCAGAGCGGUCGCUUGCACCAGGUCCGCCACGUAGCUCCGCGGGAUCCGUUGCGCCUGGAUGCCGCAUAGAUGCUCUGUACGCGUCUAGUGAUCGUCAACUGGAGGUGGUGGUGGUGGUUGCGGCUGCGGCGGCAUCUCGCACUGGGUUCGGUAAAGGUCUUGCGCGGACGCCGGAACGCCGAGCACCGCUCUGUUGACGCCUCGCACGUUGCUGGCUCGUGAUGCAUCCCACAAGGUGCGACCGCUUCUCGCAGAACUUGCUUACAUACGGGGAACUGUUGGUAUGCGUAGGAGUUGCCUCUUGAAUCGUCGAAUGGAGCGACGACUUGAGUCGUGAUGCGAGUCACUCGUCCAAGUGUCUAUCGACAAUUCGCCGGGACUGCGGAACAUGCAUGCCGUCAAUGCAUCUUCGGCGGCAACUUUAUCGACGUCGCCACUGACACAGGACAAAAGUCGAGAAAGACACCACCAUGCUGCAUUUCCUGAAAUACCCGUGAUGCACUUUGUUCAUUUCCUUUGCCUCCAAAGGACCGGUGUGGCGAAUGAUCCGUUUUCCGAUUCUUCCCGGUCGACGAAGAACCCGCUGGACUGUAGAAUCACGGAGUGUAUUCCCCAGAACGCUCGUGGGUCUAGCGAUAUGCUCUGAGGCGUCGCUGCCUAUCUGUGAGUUUUCACGCCUGGCCCUAUGAAGAUUGCGCGUGGUUCCAGUUAUCCGUGUUUGGAACAUUGUCACGGAGUCGAUACGAGCAUAUGUGCGACGCGAAGCAUGAUAUAGCGCCAAGGGUGUGUGCAGCUUCGCGAGAGGAACUUCAUGCAGGCGCUCGAGGCCCAGAUUUUUUGUGGUGUACAGUCAGCUACUCGAGACGAACAUCCGUAACGUCGGAAGCGUCGGGGGACAGUAUGCCGGAUAGACGGCUCGUUCGGAUGUAUUGCAUACUUUCUCGAGUAUCACUAUCACGGCUGACAGCGUUCUCUGAUACAUACUCUUGGGAAUGGCAGACUGCUCCAUUGCGUGUAUCGCAAGAGCGAAGCCCUGCUCGUUUCCGUGUCCAGAACGCCGCCGCUUGCAUCAAAGAAGUCUGGUGUUGCUUGCCCUUUUGAACGCUACGUAGAGCGAGCGAUUCCGAUACACGCAGCGACAUGGGAUGAGCUUGUUCACGAUAGACACUCGCUGAUCGAAUCAGAAUCCUCUGGGAGCGCAGUUAUGGUUCUAGGUAACAAACGCUGCAACCCGGUAUCCGCUAGAAUGCGGUGCACGUAUGCCAUCCGACAGCGUACUGGCGACAAGGAUGCAGCGCUGGAGGCGAUCGCACCGUGUCCAGCGUUUUGAGUCGUCUGGGGUACGCUCCCGAGGGCUGUUUCCAUACAUUCAUGUCAGAGCAAAAUGGAACGGGUCCUCGAACACGCGUGUGCGCACUAGUGUUUACGUUUCUGGAUACUGUUGCUGGCUCCGACUGCGACUGCUCCCUUUUCCUCUCUCUCGUGCCUGUUCGAUGGGCGCUGGUCUCUCCUGUGCCUCGAGCACCGUUGUCAGCAGCCGAAUGACGAUGGUGGCAGCGUUCAGUUCCGGAUUUCGCAGCUUCAGGCGGUUGACGCUGUACUCCAUAAGCAGAUUGGACUUGCGAUCUACGCUUCACUCGCUCUAUUCAUGUUCUUCGUUUACCAGCUCGAUGUGCGCUUUGCAGAGGCGGCGCUUGAUUCUGGUCGGGUGUUCCGUUAGGUCCACCACGAUCCGUCCUGUUUCGAGCGCUGCUCUCUCGCAUACGAAAGCUCAUGUCAUCGCUCGGUACAUGUCCUUGACGGGUACAAAUGGCUUCCCCUGAUGCCCGCAUCCGUCUCCGUGUCCGCUGACGUGGCUUCUUCAGUGCGAUCCUAUCGGCGAGUAUGUUGUCCGCUGCAUGUGCGAGCGCACCCUUCUCCAUGCGACGGAGCAUUUGUGGAACGCGAUGUUGUGCAGGCAGAAACUAGAACCGAGAAGGAAAACUCGAGCUGAACAAGUCGAGAAAUCUCGAUUCGUCUAUACGUCGUUCGUGCAAAGCAGUGGCGCACGCCCUAUUGGACAUGAUCGCUGCGGAGCGUGCGGUCCGAGUCCAAGAGCCCGCUUCCAGGCAAACAGAAGAGACACCAGCCUCUGGUGGCAUAUCCCGCGACAGGUAUCGCGCUGGUAUCGAAUCGUGUUUCGUCAAUGGACACGAUAAGAGACGGAUGUGUUUAUCGAGCGGAAUCGAUGAUCUCAUAUGACAAGUCCACUGAGGUUUCGGCAAGAACUUGUGAACAAUUCUUUGAGGACGAUGUAGAGUUUUUGCUUCAUCAGUUCAGUGGCGCGAGACGCAACUCGAACGAGCUGCCUUGGACCACAGAAAUCGAAAACUUGAAAAUUACAUGAUUUGAGCUGCCUAGUUGUAAGGGAAGGGCACAACUUGGAUCCAUGCGCAUAUGAAAUGGAUGAUGUUAUCGGGUAGUUGACGAAGCCUUGCUCGAGGACGUCGCGGUGCGUUGUCGGUUCGCAUCACGUAACAAGUUCGGGCGGCAGAGCGUAGAAGGAGUCACCAUGAAUAGACAAAUGAGAAUCCCAAAGCUGCAUAUAGAUCUGUGAGCCAUUGUGGAUGCAUUUUGACUAUCGAGGCUGUAAAUCUAGGAAAAC